rnacentral:sRNA from 1 species
CUGAAAUGAUCCUGGCUUUGAACAUAUGCAUUUUGAAAACAAAAGUUACAGGCAUGAGUGAUGUCCUUCAAUCUAAAAUUACAAAGAGAGUUUGUGUUAUUACACAAACUCAGAGGCGGCCUCUAUUGAAAACUCCAAUGGACAAUUGGAGCAGGAAUAUUUAAGCCAUAGUUUUGUUUUGAUCGUUUAAAUUAAUAAAAU